rnacentral:lncRNA from 1 species
ACAAGACCAAGCCUCACCACAAGAGCUACAGCUAUGAUCUUCACCUUAUUUUUAAUGCUACGAUCUCUCCACACCGUAACCUGCAGUAUUUCCUCUUUCUGGACCAUUUGAGCACCUGCAGCUGGACUUCAUUCAACUGCCACUCAGACACAAUUGGAAACUGCUUACAUUGCCAAGGCUUUGAUUGGAAUGCCACAUUUGAGAAAGACAUACAUAGACUCAUAUAUAACCAGACAGCUUUAAGGAACUAAGAUUGACUUUAUGGAGCCAAUAAAGACCUUUGGAAAAAACAACCUGGUACCUUGCUUACAUGGUCCCUGACAGCCUAACCAGAAAUGCCUCUUAUUAAAUUCCUGGUUGCUGGCACUAUAGGCGUAACUUUGGGAGCCCACCUGUAUCACCACCUCCUGAAAAGAGAGAAAACUGUUUAAAUGAACUGACUUAUUCUCAGAACUAAGAGACUGGCUCAACGAGAUAGAGCAUUCUACCAGCUUAACUUCUGAAAUGUGAAACUUCUCAGGAAGUCUCAAAGGGAGCCUGAGGGAUUCAGAACAGACAGAACAAGAUCUGCCACUUUGGCAUAUGGAAUAUAUUUUGAGCUACAGGCAAUGAAGACCUUGUGGGCUCAAGAGAAAACUCUUACCUCAGCCUUAAAGAAUUUAAAUUGAGGGCCUUGCCCAUAAUAAAAAUUAUUACCAGAAAUAACUUUUUAUGACCUACAUGCAUGGUAGGGCAAACAUCUAAUUACUAAACAUCUGCUUUUCUUAUUGUCCUGUGAACUCACCUCCUCCCCUUUGAAGCCCCAGGGCUCUAUCCCAUUCCUCAACUCAGGAUGGUAUAUGUGCUUCAUUUGCCUUUCUAUCUCUGAAUCUCUCAUGUAUGUGGGGGUCUCUGACUCUCUCAUGUUUGUGGGGUUCCUGUACAUAAAAAAUUAAAUUUGAUUUUAUCCUGUUAAUCUGUUCCCUGUCAACAAAAUUCUUAGACCAGCCAGAAGAACCCAGAAGGCUAGAGAAAAAUUUCUUCCUCGCCCACAUUAGUUAAAAAUGUUUCCAUAUUCACACUCAUUGAACAAAUGUGUGUGAAGAAUUUUCUGGGUGCCCAGCUCAAUGCUCUGAACUUGGGAUAAAACUGGAAUAAGAUAGGUUUCUAACCUCAAGGAGCUCACAAAGUUGGAAGACGACAGAAGGGUGGUGAGAGAAACAUGAAACAAAUAAUGUCUUAUAACAUUGCUGUAAGUGCUAGAUGAGAGUAUAAAUUGUAGUUUGGGGAAUUAAAUUGUCUUAAAAGAAAUAUAAGAGAAAAAGUUUCUUGAAAAUAAAUGUUUUUACAGUUUAAAAGAGGUUACUGUAUCAGCUCAUUAAUAAUAAUAGUAGUAAUAGCUGCUACUUUUUUCUUUUUAUUGUCUCAUAUGUAUAAGACACUCUUUUACCUAUGUCCUUUGAUUUAAUCCCAGCUCUGAUGAGACAAAUCUUAACAGCCUCAUUUUACAGAUGAACUGAAUCAUAGUGGCUUUAAGAAUAGAAAAGCUUCACAUCUGUGCCGAUGGCUGACACAUGAUUCAGCCUCAAAGGGAUGAAAUGAACUACAUUAUCUUCUUGACUUACUUCAAGUAUUGUUAUUUUACAGUGUAUUUCCCUCUGUAGGUUGUAGUUACAAAAGAUGAAAAGUCACUGCCUUUAGGUUACCAGAACCUCGUAAUACUAUUGAAAUGGAGCUAUGUGCUAGAACAUGGAGAUGUCUUUGUCAUGCAAAACAUUCCAUUAAAAAUUUGAUAUUAACUAUUUAUCUAUACAGAUAUAUAUAUAGUUAGCAAAGAAAGCAUUUCUUCUUUCUCUUUAAGUAAACUUCUUAAAAUUUCCAUAUGAAUGAAUUCAAAGCACAAUCAAAAUAUGCACAAUCAAAAAGAGAAGUGUUCUCUUCUUUUGUAAUUCCCAAAAUGCUAAUAUUGUUAAUUGUACUCAAUAUAUUUUGAAUAAUGUAAUUUAAACUCUAGCUAUUUAACUCCAUUUUCCUGCCAAUUUAGUCAUUGUGCU